rnacentral:rRNA from 1 species
GACGAACGCUGGCGGCGUGCCUAAUACAUGCAAGUCGAACGCAGUGGGGACGGGUGAGUAACACGUGGGUAACCUACCAUCAGAGGGGAUAAACCUUGGAAACAGGUGCUAACACGCUACUGAUGGAUGGACCCGCGGUGCAUUAGCUAGUUGGUGAGGUAACGGCUAAAAAGGGCCACGAUGCAUAGCCGGCCUGAGAGGGGGAUCGGCCACACUGGGACUGAGACACGGCCCAGACGCCUACGGGAGGAAGCAGUAGGGAAUCUUCGGCAAUGGACGAAAGUCUGACCGAGCAACACCGCGGGAGUGAAGAAGGUUUUCGGAUCGUAAAACUCUGUUGUUAGAGAAGCGGUAUCUAACCAGAAAGCCACGGCUAACUACGUGCCAGCCGCCGCGGUAAUUC